rnacentral:rRNA from 1 species
GCCUACGGGGCGCAGCAGUGGGGGAUAUUGCACAAUGGGGGAAACCCUGAUGCAGCGACGCCGCGUGAGCGAUGAAGUAUUUCGGUAUGUAAAGCUCUAUCAGCAGGGAAGAAAAUGACGGUACCUGACUAAGAAGCCCCGGCUAACUACGUGCCAGCAGCCGCGGUAAUACGUAGGGGGCAAGCGUUAUCCGGAUUUACUGGGUGUAAAGGGAGCGUAGACGGCAGUGCAAGUCUGAAGUGAAAGGCACGGGCUCAACCCUUGGAAUGCUUUG